rnacentral:snRNA from 18 species
AUACUUACCUUGAAGCGUCACCAGAGCUCACGAAUUCUCGGUGACCAGAUGUUACAGUUUACAUUGCAUUUCCCGUUGCUGUAAUGUUUGCCAACUUCUGCUAAAAACAGAAGGGUGGGUUUCAUAAUUUUUGAUUUCC